AUGACCAGACAAAUGAAGAAAUACAAGCACUUGCCUGACUCACAGAGACACAGAUUUAUAUUGAUCAAAGUGCCAAGCCUCUAGCUUGUCACUCUGAGAAGCACAAUGGGUCAUGAUCAAGAGCGGAGCAGGAAUGCUUAAGGCCUGCCACCUCAGGAAAGCUCUUUACCCAUAUAGUUGGUUCCUCUUUCACACAUGAUGAUCAGUUCAGAGUUCAGGGGCAAGAACUAUGUACUUGGGUGGCUGGACCUUCAUCAAGGGUACUUCACAAAGAUUUCUGUAAAGGCACUGGAUUCUGGAGAAAAAUUACAGUUAGUCUCAAGAGGAACAGCCCGUUGCUGCGUCAUUCUGUUGUAUCUGUAGGGCUGGCCAGAAAGGCACCGUUUUUGCAACUCCCACCUACGGAUGGGAUGCAGAACCCAGCCAAACACAAAAUCACUCAUUAGAUUCCAGGUGCACGGGGGGAUGGGGAUGGACAAUUCAUCCUCUGGCUUUAUUACUGGCAUUAGCCUGUCUGGGCAUAUUAGCUAUCAUACACCAUCUACCUGUGUGAGUUUCUGCAAGACCUGCUCCCUGCAUUUCUGGCUAAUUUCCACCUGGCCUGGAAGGGCGGGGCCCUGUCUCUCUCCAGCUACAAAAGCAGCAACUGCUGAAGGGGCCAGAGACCGUGUGUGUGUAUGUGUGCGUGAACCUGCUGCUCGGGAUGUCUAUAGACUACUGGGGUUAGUUGUUUUUUAGUUGUUUUGGGGGUCAAGAUUUAAUUUUGGAGAUUCAUUUUUGCUGUUAUUUGGACUAUAGCAUAUUUUUGUUAAACACUGUUGUGAAGU